rnacentral:rRNA from 1 species
UACGGAGGAUGCAAGCGUUAUCCGGAAUGAUUGGGCGUAAAGCGUCCGCAGGUGGCAAUGUAAGUCUGCUGUCAAAGCGUCUGGCUCAACCAGAUAAAGGCAGUGGAAACUACAUAGCUAGAGUAAGGUAGGGGUAGAGGGAAUUCCUGGUGUAGCGGUGAAAAUGCGUAGAGAUCAGGAAGAACACCGGUGGCGAAAGCGCUCUGCUGGACCUUAACUGACACUGAGGGACGAAAGCUAGGGGAGCGAAUGGG